AAGGGAGAAGCAGGCUCCAUGUGGGGAGCCCGACAUGGGACUCGAUCCUGGGUCUCCAGAAUCACACCUCAGGCUGCAGGCGGCGCUAAACCGCUGCACCACGGGGGCUGCCCAAAAGGGGGAAAUUUAAACUGGGAGAGGUUAUUUUAUAUGGGAAUAUGUUCGGGCUUAUUUAUACUUUUUUAAAAAACAUGUUUAGAUUUCCUUUUUGUUUCAUCUUACUCUAAAGGAAGAAUUUUUUAAAAAGAAGAAAUAAAGAAAAGGCCCCAAUGCAAAAAGAACUGGCUAAAUUAGUGUACUAUGUAUUGAUAACUGAGAGAAAUAAGAUAAUAGCCUCCUAAAAACAAACAACAUUUGAAAAGAGAUGCCCCACAGUCCAUGCUGUGAUAGGUUUUAAAAAAGAUUUCUUUAUUUAUUUGAGAGAGAAUGUACAUGCAUGGGCAGGGGCAGGGGCAAAGGGAGAGAAAAUUUCAAACAAACUCCCCUCUGAGUGCAGACCCCAACCCUGGGCUUGAUCUUAGGACCCUGAGAUCAUGGUCUGAGCCGAAAUCAAGAGUCAGAUGCUUAACCAACUAAGCCAACCAGGCACUCCCCUGUGCUAUAAUGUUUAUAAAGAUUUUUUAGUUUAUUUUGAUUGUAAGAGCCAUAAAUUAGGGCUGACUGCAUAAUUUGUGGGACCCAGUGCAAAAUGAGAAUAUGGGACCUUAGCUUAAGACAAAGUCAAUCUCUCUUCCUGUGGGCCUGCUAUUUUCAAAGUAGGUGAAUAACCCCUAUGGGAUUCCCUAAGAGAUUGAAAUCUCCACUCCAAGACACAUUACUUACCUGGAUCAGGGGUAGGCAAGGGAACCCUGACCAGUCAGUGAACAUGCUGUGGUGUGGCCAGCCCAAGGCAGGGAUGACUGCUUCCUUGCUCUGCCUCAAGAUGCUCCAGAGAAAUCACUUGUGGGAGCCCAGACCUCCCCAUGGAGGGUGACCAUGGCAGAAAGUGGGCCUUCCUCACCAGCUCCCCUGGUAAUGUAAUCCUGUUGCCGCCCUGGGCAAAAGGCCUCAAUGCUCACUUCAGGGGUAGGAGAUGGAGGUCAGGUGGGGCCCAGGGUACCAGGCAGCAGGUAGUUUGUCACUGAGAACCUGAGAAGGGAAGCCAGGUAGUAGUCUCCAAGCCUUCAGUGCAUGCUGUGUCAUCCUAUUUGGCUCCAGUUAUAAAACACAAAUUAAAAAAAUAAAAUUUUUAAGAAUUUACUACAGUGCCCUCAAAGUAUUCUACCCCAAAGCAUAGGGCCCAUCUGAGUAGUGGGGUUCUGUGAGACUUAACCGGUUGCACCCCAGGAGGCCAACCCUGGACACAUCUGACCUUACAUGGCAUGGUGCUGUGACUCAGUGGUUUUUAAGUGCUAUACUUCCUGGUUGUAUGCUAGCUAUCUUUGCAAAUAACCAUAAGUGUUUCAUUUAUUAUUUAUCAUUUAGUGGUUUAAACUUCUGUCGGAUAUCUUAAAAUUACCUACACAAUAAGCAAUACAUAGCUGCCAGACUUAAAAAAAAAAAGCAAUUUCAUAGUACACAUGUAUAUUGAAGUUGCAGAAGUGUUCUAGUACAGUAAAAAAAUCUCAUCUUGAACCCCCAUUUCACUGACGGAACUUUUACUUUUCCUGUAUUUUAAUCAUAACUGCCAAAGAUUUUUCAGCUGAAAGGUAAAAUGGAAAUUUUCUGUGAAAUAUCAUCAUAAAACCCUAUGAAAUAUUUCAGUGAUAUGAGUCAUUCACUUAUUCAUAGGGGUAGACAUUUAGAUAAUAGAAGUAGCUAACAGAAAUCUGUGAGAAAUAUAUUGUUAAUUCCUGUGGAGGAGGAAGGAAGAAAUCCUACUGAUGUAUUUUUAAGUGUAGUUAAAUUCAGUGUUCCCUUCCAUUUCAAAAUAUCAAAAUUAUUCUGUUAUCCUUUCUUUCCAAGAGGCUACAUAAAAUUACUUUGACAAAAUCAUGAACCAUUUUUUUGCUGUUAACCUCUUCCACAUUCCAUUUCAUGAACAUAACAAUCAGUGGUCAAGAAUAUCCUUAUUUUUAUCAACCUUGUAUUGCAUAUAUAACACUUAACUACCAUGCACUGUGGUAUUUAGUUAGCAAUUUUGUCAAAGUAUAACCUCUUGGUUUACGAUAUUACUGAAACUAACAAGAAACAGACUGUAAUAA
rnacentral:lncRNA from 1 species